rnacentral:tRNA from 1 species
GCUCCCAUGGCGUAGUGGUCACUGCGCUCGCCUUGCACGCGGGAGACCCGGGUUCGAUUCUCGGCGGUGUCA